UUCGGGGUGAGCGGCGGACGGGUUAGUAACGCGUGGGAAUAUACCCUUUGGUACGGAAUAGCCUCUGGAAACGGAGAGUAAUACCGUAUGAGCCCUUCGGGGGAAAGAUUUAUCGCCAAAGGAUUAGCCCGCGUUAGAUUAGGUAGUUGGUGGGGUAAUGGCCUACCAAGCCUACGAUCUAUAGCUGGUUUUAGAGGAUGAUCAGCAACACUGGGACUGAGACACGGCCCAGACUCCUACGGGAGGCAGCAGUGGGGAAUCUUGGACAAUGGGCGCAAGCCUGAUCCAGCCAUGCCGCGUGAGUGAUGAAGGCCUUAGGGUCGUAAAGCUCUUUCGCCUGUGAAGAUAAUGACGGUAGCAGGUAAAGAAACCCCGGCUAACUCCGUGCCAGCAGCCGCGGUAAUACGGAGGGGGUUAGCGUUGUUCGGAAUUACUGGGCGUAAAGCGCACGUAGGCGGACUGGAAAGUAUGGGGUGAAAUCCCAGGGCUCAACCCUGGAACUGCCUCAUAAACUAUCAGUCUAGAGUUCGAGAGAGGUGAGUGGAAUUCCGAGUGUAGAGGUGAAAUUCGUAGAUAUUCGGAGGAACACCAGUGGCGAAGGCGGCUCACUGGCUCGAUACUGACGCUGAGGUGCGAAAGUGUGGGGAGCAAACAGGAUUAGAUACCCUGGUAGUCCACACCGUAAACGAUGAAUGCUAGUCGUCGGGUAGCAUGCUAUUCG
rnacentral:rRNA from 1 species